AGUCUAAAACGGUAGCUCUGGAAUCUGGGCGUUUUAAGUACUUCAUCUUAGAUCACACGGCGCUGGAUCCUUCCCAGAAGAAUUUCCUUUAGCCUGAUAAGACCCACGAUCUUGACAAUCAUCAGUUUCCCGGAACAAGAAUAACAGCAUUUGAAGGUGACAGAAAAGAAAAUACUGCAAGACUACCACCCAUGAUACUCUUGCAGUCCCCUUCCAAGUAUCUCUUACAGAUCUUGACUACUCGCCUUGAAAAUCUUGACAAAGGAGUUGAGCUGGAUUCCUAUUGGAUUGAAUUCAAUGAUGUCCGUUACCAUGUUCAGGCCUCUAUGAAAAAUCCCAAUCUUCUCUUUUUAUCGGUGAGUUUACCUCCACCACCUCCCGAAACAGUAUCCUUUGGUGGGCUACCUCCAGGUGCCAUAGAAGCUAUAAAAGCAGCAUAUGGAGUGGUUGCACAAAUUCUUGAUCCUCCAAGAGAUGGAUUCAGUCUCACAUUGAAAUUGAACUUGUCAAAACUUCCUCCAGAUGAAGAGCAUAAACAUGGGGUUUUGACGAAGAUUGCAUCUGUGAGGGAAGUGGUAUUGGGUGCCCCGUUAAGAGUAUUUCUUAAACAGCUUGCUUCUAGGACAGUUGCUUCUGACAUUGACAAGGUUGUUGCUCUGGUGCAUCGGCCCAUGGAAUCCUUUUUUCUCAUCCCUCAGGUGGAAAAGGUCACUGUGGUAUUUCCUAUGAGAUUCAAAGAUUCUAUAGAUAUUCUUCUGGCAACUUCUUUCCUAAAGGAAUUUGUAGAUGCUAGGCGUACUGCUGGUCUCAACAAUGCCCCUCCUUGUUCGUGGUCUCCAUCUCCUCCCCCCGAACUGAAGGGAGCUCCUCCAGAAGCAUUAUCAUCAAAUGCUGGAUUUGUUAGUUUUGUAAUUUUCCCUCGUCAUGUGGAAGGCAGAAAAUUGGAUAGAACCGUUUGGAGUCUAUCAACAUUUCAUGCAUAUGUGAGUUAUCAUGUUAAGUGCUCAGAAGGUUUCAUGCAUACACGGAUGAGACGUCGGGUAGAGUCCCUAAUACAGGCCUUGGAUGGUGCCAAACCAGAUUAUGAGAAGGCAGUGAAAGCUACACAAAACAGAUCUUUUAAGCGAUUGAGCCUCAAGGAUGGAAGGAGCAGUUUGAAAUCAUUUAGCUGAGAAUGCAGGAUGUACUCGCUGAUACCGUGAAAGGCUUGCACUAGUAACUGUGUUCUGCUUCACUCAGGGAGAAUUUAGCUGGCGCCUGGCAACAACGAGGAGCCCUCCUAUGGUGUAUAUUUUGAAAUCUUCCUCUGCGUUUAUUUGCUUAUCAGCAAACCAGAGCCUUGUAAUCUAUUAUGUUCUGCAUUUCUGGGCAGCAGCAGCAGCAGAAAGCAUAGUGGUUUUGUACUUUGUAGGGAUCAUAUUUUAUAUCAUUCAUGUUAAGAUAAAGAUUUUGAGCCAGGUUCAGUCUGUAAUUCAUGAUGCAUAGAUAUUUCAUUUGGUAAGUGCAUAAUUUUGGUUGAAUGAGUAAAUUGCUGCACCACCACAGAAACCCGAUGCAGAGAGAGGUGCCAGUU